GAAAUGCGAUAAUUAAUGUGAAUUGCAGAAUUAAGUGAAUCAUCGAGUCUUUGAACGCACAUUGCGCCCCCUGGUAUUCCGGGGGGCAUGCCUGUCCGAGCGUCAUUGCUGCCCUCAAGCACGGCUUGUGUGUUGGGCUUCCGUCCCUGGCAACGGGGACGGGCCCAAAAGGCAGUGGCGGCACCAUGUCUGGUCCUCGAGCGUAUGGGGCUUUGUCACCCGCUCCCGUAGGUCCAGCUGGCAGCUAGCCUCGCAACCAAUCUUUUUAACCAGGUUGACCUCGGAUCAGGUAGGGAUACCCGCUGAACUUAAGC
rnacentral:misc_RNA from 1 species